rnacentral:rRNA from 1 species
AAGGUGAGGUCGAAAGACGUAAUUGAUGGACAACGGGUUAAUAUUCCCGUACUACCUUGGGCUGUUAAUGGGUGGACAAAAGAGGUUUAGGUAAGAGGAUUAAUGGAUUUCCUUUUAAGUUUCAAAGCAAGCUAGGGAUGAAAAUCACCUUAGUAUAUAUUGCAAGAAACGAAUACGAUUUCUAGUGGCGACACUAGAAAGAGUUACUAACAAUCGCUUUUCGAGAAAAGACUCUAGACAUAAGCUCAAGGUAUUCGUACCGAAAACGAACACACGUGAUCAAGGAGAAUAUCCUAAGGCUAGCGAGCUAACUACAGUUAAGGAACUCUGCAAAUUAACUCUGUAACUUAGGGAGAAAGAGUGCCCCAGAAGGAAUCUGGGGUCACAGUAAAGAACGAGGGCGGACUGUUUAACAAAAACACAGCUAUAUGCAAAAUUCGAAUAUGAAGUAUAUGUGGCGACACCUGCCCGGUGCCAGAAGGUCAAAGAAGGUUGUUAGGCUAGUUUUCUAGCUGAAGCUUCUAACUUAAGCCCUGGUGAACGGCGGCCG